rnacentral:rRNA from 1 species
CCCUACGGGGCGCAGCAGGCGCGAAAACUUUGCAAUGCGGGAAACCGUGACAAGGGAACUCUGAGUGCCCGUUAAAUCGGGCUGUCCAUCGGUUUAAAUAACCGGUGAAGAAAGGGCCGGGCAAGACCGGUGCCAGCCGCCGCGGUAAUACCGGCGGCUCGAGUGGUGGCCACUAUUACUGGGCUUAAAGCGUUCGUAGCUGGUUUGUUAAGUCUCUGGGGAAAUCUUCCGGCUUAACCGGAAGGCGUCUCAGGGAUACUGGCAGACUAGGGACCGGGAGAGGUGAGAGGUACUCCAGGGGUAGGAGUGAAAUCCUGUAAUCC